rnacentral:tRNA from 1 species
GCGGUUGCGGUCAAAAGUCCCAAGCAUGUGUCUGUGGAACAGGAGGUCGGUGGUUCGAGCCCACCCAACUGUACCA